rnacentral:piRNA from 1 species
UAAUAAUUAUCGCUUGAAAUUCAUUCCCACA